GUGGGGAAUAUUGCGCAAUGGGCGAAAGCCUGACGCAGCGACGCCGCGUGAGGGAUGAAGGUUUUCGGAUCGUAAACCUCUGUCAGAAGGGAAGAAACUACGUUGUGCUAAUCAGCAGCGUACUGACGGUACCUUCAAAGGAAGCACCGGCUAACUCCGUGCCAGCAGCCGCGGUAAUACGGAGGGUGCAAGCGUUAAUCGGAAUUACUGGGCGUAAAGCGCACGUAGGCUGUAGUGUAAGUCAGGGGUGAAAUCCCACGGCUCAACCGUGGAACUGCCUUUGAUACUGCACAACUUGAAUCCGGGAGAGGGUGGCGGAAUUCCAGGUGUAGGAGUGAAAUCCGUAGAUAUCUGGAGGAACAUCAGUGGCGAAGGCGGCCACCUGGACCGGUAUUGACGCUGAGGUGUGAAAGCGUGGGGAGCAAACAGGAUUAGAUACCCGGGUAGUCC
rnacentral:rRNA from 1 species